rnacentral:rRNA from 1 species
CCCUACGGGGGGCAGCAGUGGGGAAUAUUGGGCAAUGGGCGCAAGCCUGACCCAGCAACGCCGCGUGAAGGAAGAAGGCUUUCGGGUUGUAAACUUCUUUUAUCAGGGACGAAACAAAUGACGGUACCUGAUGAAUAAGCCACGGCUAACUACGUGCCAGCAGCCGCGGUAAUACGUAGGUGGCAAGCGUUGUCCGGAUUUACUGGGUGUAAAGGGCGUGCAGCCGGGAGUGCAAGUCAGAUGUGAAAUCCCGCGGCUCAACCGCGGAACUGCAUUUGAAACUGUGCUUCUUGAGUGCUGGAGAG